AUUCACACAUCUUCUAAGUACUGUAGCUACUAAUAUUCAUAAUUAAGAUUAAGCUAUGCCGCUUAAACAGCAGCCAAGUGUAGUAAAUUGUAUGCUAGCAGAGAUCUAGCCCUAUGAAAAACAAAAGAUAUCGACUUCUAGCAGCAGCGACAUCACAUCGUCUAGAAAAAGCAGUAGCGACAAGCACUCAAUCCCACCGAGAAUCUUAUCUUCUCCACACAUCCACCCAGCGCUCUGCCGACCAGCACCAGCAGACCUCUCCUCCCGCGCCUCCGCCACAGGCCCAGCUAGCCACCAGCCAGGAGCUCAUGCACAAGCCAGCCGCACUGCACAACGCUGCCGCCCGUACACCGCCGCCAGCACCAACCACGCCGGAGCAAGGAGCUCCCCUCGACCCCGGGCGCCUGCCUCCCGUCCGGCGACCGGCCGCUGGAGCAUCACACCCGCGCCAUGGACCUCCGACCCCGACGCCCAAGCUCCCGAUGCUGUUCAUCGCCAGAUCCGCGCCGCCCCACCUUCUCCGACCAUGUCGGGAGCUGCCGUCAGGAGCACGCGCUGUUAGAAAUAAGCCAUGCCACUGCAUGCGUCAUGCGCGCGGCCAUAGCUCCGUGUUUAGUCGUGUGUGUACUAGCGGCUGUAGGGAUUAGUUAGACUGGCUGCGUUGAGUGGCGCAGCCGUGGCUGGCUAGCUACAUGCAUGGCGGGUCAUGUGGCCGUUGGAAGAGGCUGGAUCUGGGCGUGCAUGCAGGUAGUGGCUGGUGCGGUGAGCGUGCGUUGGUGCAUGCGUGAGUUAAUUAGUUAGUGCUGUUAGUGGCCGCGUGUGACGGAUGGUGCGUGUGUUGGUGUGUGUGUGCAGCCGGGUAUAAAAAGCCCCCUGAUAUAUUGAUCGAGGUGCGGCGGUAAGAGCCAUGUGUAGCCAUGUAGCCACUGUAAGGAAGAAAAGGAUUGGGGCGUUCGUGCGCCCGUGCCGGCGUUCGUGCGC